rfam:Xenopus laevis strain J chromosome 3S, whole genome shotgun sequence.
CUGUCUGAAACAAAAGACCCACUGAGAGUUCAACCACACCUUAAGAAAUGCUUUGAGGGUAUUGCAAAGCUGACUUUUAAUGCAAAGAAAGAGAUAACACAUACAGAGUCUGCAGAAAAUGAAAAAGUAGAGCUUGUGCUGAAAAUAAUGCCGUGGAAAGUCUUGUUGAAAAAUGUCUACAUGAGG